AACGCACGAGACCUGCGGACCUGCGGAAGGAUCAUUACCGAGUGCGGGCCCUCUGGGUCCAACCUCCCACCCGUGUUUACGUACCAUGUUGCUUCGGCAGGCCCGCCGUCCUGGCCGCCGGGGGGCCUCUUGCCCCCGGGCCCGUGCCUGCCGAAGACCCCUGGGAACGCUGUCUGAAGGAUGCUGUCUGAGUGCGAAUGCAAAUCAGUUAAAACUUUUAGCAACGGAUCUCUAGAUCGG
rnacentral:misc_RNA from 1 species